rnacentral:tRNA from 1 species
GCGGAUGUGGCGGAAUUGGUAGACGCGCUAGAUUUAGGUUCUAGUGGGGUAACCUGUGAGAGUUCGAGUCUCUCCAUCCGCA